GCAGGCUAAAUCGAAGACACAUCCGUGUGAAGUGGAAGACGAAAUAGGUGGCAUCCAUCGUCAUAAGGACUUCAUUGAUCCUGUAGCAUCUUUAACCUUAAAGAAAGUCAACAGCAGUGAGGAAAACGCUGCGAGAUGACAUGAGGAAAGAACCAUUGAGAGGAAACAGACCCAAAAUGAAUUCAUCCUUGUUUGUGUGAUGGUGAAAUGAUUCAUCAUUACUCUUUUACAACUGUAUGCUUUGAAGGUGCCAAGUGUGUCUCCAGUCCUGAACCAUAUUGAGCAUCUGUGGGGCGUCCUCAAGUGGCCAUGUAUCU